rnacentral:lncRNA from 1 species
UUCUCUCCCAAUUUCAUGACAACAAAAACCUAGAAUACAAAAGACUCAAAAAACGACGCCACUUGCCUGCAUCUCAGAAUCAAUUUCACCAAUUUUUAAACAGGAUCCACUUUCUUCUUCAUAGUAUGCAUAAUUUUCUUCAUAUUUCAAGACCAUCACAUGACUUAACCCAUCAUCCUCUCUCUCAUUUUUCAUAUGCAUAAAUCAAAAACAAACUAACGAAAGUAGGAGCAGAUUUGUUUUUUUUUUCUCAAGAAACUUAAACCUCUUCAUUACAUCCAUUCUUCUUCGUUUCACCUUCACAAAACCUCACCUUAAAAAUCCACAUUCCAACUUGUGAACCAAACCCUAACUCUUUUGUGAAACACACCUUCCACACUCUUCAUUUCCUCACCACUUAACUUUCAUAAACUCACUCCACCAUUUCAAAACAACAACCACCAACUUUCAACUUUUCUACCAUGAAAACCUUCCAUUUCUAACUCCCUCACUAUUCAAAUAACCAUACACCAACCACCAUACUUACAUAGCACAUGUGACCUCCUUAUUUUUUAUGACAAUAAAUACACUUUCUUUUUCAAAAACCACAACAACACUAUAUAUUUGCAUCACCUCUAAACCAAUUUACACUAUCUCUUUUAUCUCAUAAACCAAACACAAACACCUCAUAACAAUAGCAAUGUGACCGCAUUUUCGACCAACAUUUUGCCGGUCGAACCGCCACUCUCACCUUCAAAUAACAACUCGAUUCCGCCACUGCUUUCCACAUAGCAGCAACACCACCACCACAACACAACUGAAAACAAACCACCGUGACGACGCCAUUCUGACCGUCGCCUAUGUCACAACCACCAUCUUAACUCGUAGGUCCACCUUUGGUAUUCCUUUUCUCCCUCUUUGUUUUCGUUCUAACAUGUGCUCAUUUCUUUUUUAAGCUUGUGUGAUUAACAAGAGAUGAGAUUUUUAUUUUUUUAAUUACUUUUUCUUCACCAUGAAAGAGGAGAUGAGGUUUUGUUUUGAUUUUUAAUUUGUGUUGUUGUGGUGCUGAGAGAGAUAUACGUGAAAAAAGAGUGGAAGGGCUGCUCUUUUUUUUCUUCAUGUUUUUUCAUUAUAUUCAAAAAAAAUUUAAUUCAAAAUAGAAAGAGAGAGUAUAAGUUGUGAGAAAGAAGAUUUUCUUCUUCUAUGGCAUCUUCACAUGCGAUGAGAGAGAUGAAGAGGACCAUUGAUUUGUUUUGUUUACUAUUAUUACUUGUUUUCUUUUUGUUUUUAUUUUUUAAUUCAUCAUGACACGUGUCAAAAUGUGGUUGUGGGGUUUGUUUUAAUUUUGGAAACUUUCUUUCUCUCUUUCCAGUUACUAUACCACUUCCACCUUUGGUCUUGCAUCAUUGUUUUUUUUCUAUUUCUUUUAUUUGAUGUAUAUUUAUUUUAUUUUAUUAGGAUUAGAUUCUUUUGGGCUUGGACUUUGAAAUAUUAGUUUGGCACACCCCAUAUCCCCAUUUCCACCCCUUUCAUGUUUAUAAUUUAUUUUUAUUCUCUUUUAUUUAGUAGUUACUUAAUUAGCUAGAAGUUUAUUUGAUAAGUUGAUUAAAUUUCAAUUAAUUAGUAAAUUACUUGAUAACUUUGUUGCCUCUUGAUUUGUUAUUGUGUUGCGAUCUCAUAGUUAAAAUUCAAUUUAGCUUUUGAAAAUCGUUUGGACGCAUAGAUUUUGCCCGACUUCUUGUAGAGUGAUUCCUACAUGAAUCCACUUUAAGUUAGCUUAAUAUAGCGCUAAAUUCAGUUUGCUUUCAAUUUUUAUUAGUUUUCGGUCUCGUGACUUGCUCUUGGGCCUUCUUACAAUGGGAUCAUUUUGUUUUCAUUUACCUGUUUCACGGGUUUGCUCUUAAUCGAUUUAUUAUAUCCCCAUUGACAAAGUGUACCCCAUCCCUUGUUUGUAAUUUGUAUUUAUUUUAUCGAUUUUAUUUCUAUUGUUUUUAGUUAGUAAAACGAACUAAAUAAUUAUUCGACCACUAAAAUAAAGCCGACCUUUCAAAACAAUAAAAACACUUGGUCAACACCAAGUUCCAUUUUCAAAAACACUUGCUCAACACCAAGUUGUCACCACUUAACUCCAAACCCAUUUCAACCAUAAAUCAUUAUCACCAUCCAUUUCAACUAUCAACCAUUUUCAAUCCAUUCACAUCACAAAUAAAAAGUUUGAUCCAAUGUCAAGUUUCUUUUCUCAAUCAAAUCAAAAUGACUUACCAUUAACAACUUUGACUUUUUAUAACAAAAUGGAAGGAAAGAAUUACCUGGGUAUAAAAUCCAGUCAUAGUCCUGAGUAUUAGACCCAAAUUGUAAAAGUUUGCAAGUCAUAAAUACUCUACUUUGAAUCCAAAAACAAUCCAACCAAUAAAACUCUUUUCUCUCCGUCGUGCGAACUUUAACAACCUUUUCACAAACGGAAGAUGUUUUCGUAUCAAGACGAUGCAAAAUAAUGCUUCGUCCACAAUCGUGUGAGUUGAGAUAAGUGACAUUUUCCCAUGAAUGUUGAUAUGUAGAAGCCCAUUCAAGGUGAUGCAAAUGCCCGCUUCCCACCUGUUUUAGGAAGCAAGCAAUGUUUUUCCGUAGAUUGAGAUAAAAUAACUUUCACUAAAAUCGACAAACAAAUAAAUAUUUUUUACCCAUAACUACGUAGCCUUGAGUUCUCCGUCGUACCCAGAGAUACGUAGGAGAGAGAUUCAAAGUUAUGUCAAACACCAUAAUAAAAAAUAAACCUUUCGAUUCUAUUCUUCUUUCCUUGUAAUAACCUGAAAAGCCUAACACUUCUAUGCUAACACUAGCGCGCUGUAGCGGUAAAUUCAUGACCAUUAAGUUAUGGAUAAACUUAACGUCAAUUAAACCAGAGUCGCCACCGCGCUUUUAUUGUUUCCAAAGGAUAAGGGAAAAGUACGAACAAAACCCAAAGAUAAGAAAUUUUCAAAUCAAAACUAAUAAAAUUCCAGAGAUUACAGGUAAGGGGGUUGGUUACACAAAGGGAAGGUGUUAGCACCCAAAGUGUCCUAGGUACUCCUAGGGAGCCCUUUUUUAUGUGUGUAUGUGUUUUGGCAUAAAAGAUGUUUGCAAUAAAAUAAAGUGUGGGGAUGAGAAAAGAAUUCAUUAAUUAUAUUUUUGUGUUUGACAAGACCUUCGAACUUGUGCCUACGUACCAACAUAAAAUGAGGGAUCAAAACCUCGUAGUUCGUGGUAUCAAUUUAAAAGUGAAUGAAUUGCUUUUAUCAAAAUAUUAAGUUUAAAAGAGGCACAAAAGGCCUAAAAGAGUUUGAAUGAGUGUUAGUUCUUUUUGUCUUUUGAAAUUUUAAGUCAAUUAUGGUUAAGUUCAUUUACAAGUUUGAUUAAGAAAAACAAGCUUAAAAAAUGCAAUGGCAUAAGGCCAAAGUUUCUAAUUUUCAAUAAAGUCUAAAUUUAAAAAUCACAAGUUAGAAGAUUUUGAAAGAGGGGAGAGAUUUGAAAUUUAAGAAGUGGGGGGAGAUGAAGAGACUAAUCCUAAGCAAAAAUUUAAAAGUUAAGAGUUGAAAAGAUCUGACCAAUGGGAUGAAAUCCAAUAGACAUGAAUGUCAUAUAGAAACCCAUUUUUAUUUUGGACUUUGAAAUCAAGCAAUAUCAAUACACAAGUAGCAAGAUGAAGAGUAAGGCAUCAAAUAAAGAUAGCCACAUCCAAGUUAGCAACUCCAUAUUCAUAAUCUCCCAUGCAUCAGAUGACAUACUCCUUGAAUGGCUCAGAAAUAGGCCUUAGACACAAGUUCAAAGUAACAUUUGCAUCAAGACCAUGUAGCAGAUGCACUCAAAAGGGAUCUCAAUACUUGCAUAAGAUGAAAGUUCAAUUCACAAUGACUUGGCUUCAGAAAAGCUGGCAUUGGCCAAGUCCUUUUGCAUAGGGAAUGUUGCUUAAUUCUAAGUCCAAGUCUCAGAUCAAAUCCAACAGUCCACACAAACAUUUUUUUAAAUAGUUUUUGUUGUUAUUAUGUACAUUAAGGUCCUAAGACCACAAACACAAACAAAAUACACAAACAAGUAUAUACAAUCACAAUAUAUUCACAAUACAUGGCUCAAGUGAGCAAAGUAAAAAUGGGAUUAAAAUAAACAAGUUAAAUGAUAUGAAUAAUGGCAAAUGAUAAAAGUACUUGAAUUUAAAGGGCAUAAGGUAAAUGACUUCAAAUUAAAAGUUAGUCAAAUGUUAGUUGAUUAGAUGUUAGUAUUGUUUUUUCUUUUCAAUUGUUUAAGUCAUUCUUUGGAGAACACUCAACCCUCUAUUCACAAGCAUGUAUCCUUGAACCAAGACAUCUUCCAAAGGAAGGAAAAAAGGCCAAGUUUCCAUACAAUACCGUGAAAGGGGGGAGACUUACAAUCUCACUUACUAGAAUGUUAUGCUUUUGGGUCAAAAUUUAGCGCUAUGUUAAGCAAUCGUAAUUGGACUUAUGUAGAAGUAAACUAGUCAGUGGGCAAAUAAACUUUAGUGUUAAUGGCAUGUUAGGAUAUGGUAUAACGAAUCAUACUCCUAAAACAUACACACUUAAAAAGAAAUGCCAAAAAGGAUGAACCUAAUCUCAUCAUACUUGUGUUGGUUUAUGAACCAACUAGCCUAUAGAUAUAGAGAUAAUAAUUGGUAAGGAAUGGAUCAAUAGAAUGGGAUUGAAGAUGAAGAGGAAGGGAAAUGAGACAACACAAUUGAUCAUGAGAAAUUUUAUCAAAUAAAAUCAUUCAUUCAUUUUGGGAGUGAAAUGUACAUUUCAUGCAAUCUAAAUCCAAUGAUUUUAAUCCAACAAAGUCAAAUCAACCUUGACCAAGGCCCAAACACAAUAGUCAAACUUCACAAGUCAAUAAAAAUAGCUCAACACAAUUUAUUCACAAUUAAAAAUCAAUUAAAAAUGCAUUAAAUUGAAUUAUUAUUGAUCAAAAACCUAAAACCUCUUCAAAACACCAAAUAAAUAGCCAAGAUAUUUAUCAUAGGUCAAACAAGGUCAAAGGACCUUGGAGAAAAAAUAUCAUUAUUUUUGGAAAGUCAAAAGUAUUUUUAAACAAUUAAAAUAUGCACAAAAACGAUUAAUUCAUGAAAAAUAUUAAUGUUGAUCCAAAAAAUAAUUUUAAUUCAGAAAAAGAAAUAGAAAAAUAUUUGAAAUUUUUUGGUGAAAGUCCCACAUUUUUUGGAUCAAUAUUAAAAUUAAUAUGAAUUAAUGAAAAUAUAGCAAUAAAAAUGAAAAUUUAAAAAAUCAAAUAUAUGUGGACCAUAUGAUCUCCCUCAUUAGUUGAGGUGGCAGAUCAAAUGGUCCAAAGCGCGCGCUCCAUGUGAUCUCUAGUCAACUGUGCAACACACGUGGUAAUCACAACCAACGCUCAAGAUUAAAACAUUUUGAAUGGAUCAUGUGGUUCAGAGACUUGCCAAAACAUCGUCGGAGCCAGAGCUCCGAUUUUCUUCUCCGGUGGAACUCACCGGACUGGUCCAUCUUCAACCAUCCCCAAAAUAAAAAAUUAAGACAUGGGUUUAAAGAAAAAUUGCUCAGGAGCUCGAAUAUGGCCUCAAUUUUGUCUAACUCCAAGUAUAUAGGAAGAUACAGGGAGUUGAAUUUUGAGGUUCAUGAUUUGAGUUGCUUCAAUUUGACCUCUAAACAACUCAACCUUGUUGCCUACAUUGGUAGGACUUCAGACAACCAAGAAUCAACAAGAAUAACAGAGAAAUAAGAGAGAAUCAAAGAGUGGAAAAAUAUGGAAAAUCACCUUCAAUGGAUCUUCAGAUUGGCACAAUCUUGCUCUCUAUUAUGCUUGGCCUUGCUUCAGAUGCUUGAUGGAAUGGAAAUGGAUCAAGGAAAGGGGUGGACUCUUGGAGUUUCAAUCUCAAAAUAGUUGGAGAUUUGAAACUCGAUUUUUAAAGAAAAUCUUCAAGCUUAUCCUUUAAUGGCGAGGGUUUAGGGUUGCUGAAUCAAAUCUUGCGCAUGAGGUCUCUAUUUCUGAGCAAGAGAGUUUCUAUUUAUAGGCCAAUGGGACUGAUAUUUGCACACUUCCAUUUUUGGAAAAACUUGAAAAUCUCUCUUGCAUGCUUGCAUGGGCGUGUGAUAGGCCCAUCAAGUGAUGCACUUAGGUCCAAAAUUGAGUGUAAGCCAUGAUGAAAUCAUGUUGUCAAUCCAUGCAUUCAUGUAUGAAAAGUGGAACUUGAUAUUAUCCAAAUGGUCUUUCAACUUUAACAUAUUCGUAAGUCAUUCAUCCUUUGUCCAAAUGAGAUGAUUUUGGACAUUUUAGAAAGAUUAGAUCAACAGGAACAACUUUUAUGUUGAACAUUUUUUCAUUUGAAGCUUGGAUCAUGAUGAAUUAUGAGGUGGAAGUUUGGAAAAUCAAACAUAUAAAAAAAAUCUAAGUACCAAGCCAUAUGUUCACUUCUUCCACCUUGAAUAACUUCUUCUAUGGGUUUCAAAUGAGAAACAUUCCUUCAUCAAAGUUGUAGCUAUUCCAUAUCCAUUAAAAUUUGUCACAAAUUUGACCUUAUUUGGAUUUGGGAUGAAGGAGUUAUGCAUUUUAGGAGUUGAGGAAAAUCACUUGUUCAAUGGUAUAGGCCCAAAAUGACCUAUAAUGUUUUCACUUGGCACAUGCAUUUUCAAGUUGAGUUUGCACUUCCUCUAAGGAUCAAAUUUGAAUUAGACAUCUUGAAAUUAAUCAUGAAACUUUAAUGGCUUUCAUCUCAUACAAAAUGAGCAAGUUAUGAUCUUGAGAAGUUGACCUCCAAAUUAGGGUUUGACAAAAUGACCUAUAAUCUCUCAUCAUAACAAAUGACUUUCCAAGAAAAACUAGCUCUUGACCUCAACAUUAAAGUUGUUUGGAAUGUCAUUUAGAGUAACUUUUUUCUUGGAAUCAUUUUCAUAUGAUAAAAUCGUAUGAGAUAGGGUCUAAGGAACCCCAGUUUUGACUAGUUGACUUUCUCUGGUCAACCACCAUGCACCAACUUGCUAGCUUGAUAUUCUAUUGACUUUUAGGACUCAUGGAGGAUCAUAUAUCCAUAAGAUAAUUAAAUGUGAAGUAUCCCUUGAAAUAUUUGACCAAUUGGUGAAGAAACUUGUUGAAGAAGUCACACAAGAUACCCAUAUGAAUUAGGGCUUCCAAGGCAAACAAGCUCCAAAAUCUUGAUGAUUUAUUGAUCAAAAUAACAUGUGAAGAUCAUGGGGAUCCAUAUAUGAUAUUUAGAGCCAUAGUAAACCAUUUCUUGAUUGAGCUCCUUGCAUUGAGGGUCUUGAACCCUAUAUAUGAUCUUGAUAGAUCAAAGGUGAGCAUACACACUACCUACAAAAGCAGUUAAAUUAUACAAUGACAUAUUUUUGGUAUUUUGGUUAGUAAAUAAAGAAAAGUGAAGUAUGAUACAAUCAAAUGUGCUUGAUGAUCUCUCCCAAUGCAAACCCAAUGAAUGAGGGGUAAGGAGGAUGCUAAGGUGUGAUCCUAAUGUUAAUGCAUAAAAUGAGAAUAUCAUGAGGGAUCUUAGGGUCAAAAUUGGGGUCUUACACGCGCACAACUAACCAAAUGAUUCCUGUUGAGUAUAACGAGCGUGAGGGAUGCUAAUAACAUCCCCUUGUGUAAUUGACUCCCGAAACCUUAUUUGGUUGCGACGGCCAGUAUCAUUGUUGUUCUUUUUAAGGGUUUUAUCGAUACUUUUCUUUUCACUCUUUGAGAAUAAAUAAAGUUCGGUGUUAAGUCAAAACAGUGGACGUGCGAUACGCCUCGCGAUGUCAUGUUCUCAUUUUUCGAGGUACGACAGUUCCAUUUGGCCCUUUCUUGACCAAUCUAUUGCAUGUUGACAUCACAUUUAUCUCCUUCGAACGAUGGGUCCACAUGUGUUCUCAUAUGAAUCCCAUACAUUGUGGGUUCUUUAAGUUGAAGAAAUCGGUUAAUUGACCUCCCACUGUAAUCAACCACUUUACUUCAAACAAAAAAGCUUUAAUCAAAAAUAUUUUCUUGCACAUUUGCAAAGAACUCGAACCCUAUUGAGUGGUUGAUAUAGUCGAACAAAAUGCCAUUGAAAUAUUCUCAAUCUCUAGUCUUUACGUUUUCUUUAAUUAUGGGAUUCUCGUCUAUAUCACCCCAUGAAUUUCCAUUUAAGAGUUAACACUACAAGAUUUUUUUUUCAAAAUAACCAUUUUUUCCAAAAAAAAAUCCAAAAUAACCAGUUAUUCAAAAAAAUUACCAAAAUAACCAGGCUUUGUAGAGGAUGCGCCAGAUGAAUUGGCACAUCCCCAAUGCAUGAAGAGGAGGCGCUAAUAGCAUUAGCGCAUGCACUGGGCUCCUCAUUAGGAGGCGCCAAUGCUAGUGGCGCAUGCAUUGGGCCUAAUGAGGAGGCGCCAAUGCCAGUGGCGCCUAUGUGCAUUUGGUUGGUGUAUGAGCCAAUUCAUCCGGCGCAUACAUUCCUUGCUGUUAUUUUUUUUAAUUUUUCUAUUUUUUUUUAAUUUUUUUAAUUUUUUUAAUUUUUUUAAUUUUUUUAAUUUUUUAGUUUUUUGAUUUUUUUAAAUUAUUAAUAUUAAAUUUUUAUUAUUUAAUAAAUAAGAAAUAGUAAUAAAAAAAAUUCAUUGAUGAUGUAAUAAUUGGUUACAUUGGGCUGAAAAUAAACUAAUGAUCGACCCGAUUAUAACGUCCCCCUGUUCCACAUCCCAGUGUGUUAGUUUGUCUCUGAGGUCUCCCACAAUUUUCUUGAGGUGUUUAGGGUUUUUGUGUGCUGACCUUGUCGUGUGAUGGCUGGUUGGAAGGUCCGACGGAAGUUCUAGUGAUAUUUGACAGAUGUGUCAUCAUUUGCUCCCAAUAUCCGGAGGGGCUCUGGCCAACGACGCUUCCGUAAGUUUGAUGCCCAUGUCAUCAUAGUUAAGGCAUUGGGUGAAUUAGGGACGGUAUAGUUGCCCAAAUUAGGCCAUUGAGUCAUUUUGGAAACGAAGCAAUGGUUCCUAGGGCGUACUAUAGUUAAACAAUGGUUAGGUGUUAUGUUGAUGGGAUGUUUGGGUGGUCAUUGAUGGGGGGUUACGAUGAAGUGAUCCAUAUGAAUCAUUUGGGCUAUAGACGGUUGUGGUUGCGGGGUUUGAUUCUUGGUUUUGUGUUUGGGUGGGUGGUAUGAAUUGAUUGCGACGUUGGAUGGUUGGUUGUUGGGUGGUUGGCAUGAACGGGUUGCGAUGUUGGGUGUUUGGUCGUUGUGUGUAUGUGGUUGGUCGAUGUUGUGUGGUUGGUUGUUGGGUUUGGGUGGGUUCACAUUGUUGUUGGGUGGUGAAUUGUUGUGUGGCGUACGAUGACGAAGCAAGUUGGCGUGGAUCCAUCAAAUACCGUGGCUCAGAUACAAAUUGUUGAGUUGUUACCGACCUAAACCAUGCCAUAUAUUGUUGAGUCGGUCUUGCACCAUGGAUGACUGGUUCAUUCAAGAUGUGUUAUCUUCGAUUCCUCCAUUAAUGACACAUCUCUUUUGCAAAGUCUCUCUAGUCAGAAUAAUCCCAUUGUGCAUCAACCCUUUUUUGAUGCCAAUUCUCCAAACACGUGGGAGAUUCUGGAAUCUGUUGUAGCAUUCCGAACUGCAGUUUGACCCGGUCAUUCUGGUGCAUUUCCACCAUAGUGAAUCGGAUAAUCGGUGUCUUCGCUGUCCAAACUGCAACAUCGUCAUGGUUCACAUCAUGAUCCAGACCCAGAUAUGUCCUCCAGACAAACUGUAAAACAAUACGAAACGAUUAGAUGGAAAAUAAUUUGAGAAGUAUUUUUAAAUUAAAAUAUAGUUGGGUAGGAUUAUUACAUCGUCAUGUCCAAUGUGGUCCAAUAGAUUGCGAUAGACUACAAUAGCGUGUUUCGACACCUUUGUAGUUCAUUCCCUACUGACCAUAAAAAAGAAAUGAAAAAUAUUAUUUACUGUUAAUUAUAAUAUAAAAUAUAAUUAACUAAAUGGUGAAUGGUAAAGUGUUAGACUUACUUGGUUGCAAACGGGAACACGAAUGGGCGCUCAUUUAUCGGGGCAAGCGACGGCCUUCUUGACCAACCCCAAGCUUGAAGCAAAUAUGCACAUGAAAAAAAAAGUACAGGUAUUCUUUUUUGCAGUUCUACACAUUGCACUAUAUAGAUGGGCUAACACAGCUGAACCCUAAAUAUAAGUGUUUACCUUAUUAAUGUUGUGUAAUAAAGGUAAAUACAUUAUAUUUAUAGAAUUACCUGUACUUUCUGGAAACAAAAAAUUACCAAAUAAAAUCAUAAUAUAACACUGAGCUUUUAUUAUUUUCUCAUACUCAGUUGAAUUGUCGGACAAUACUAUACUGGCAUAAUAUUGUUUAAGGUAUUUUAAAUUUAUACCUUGCCCCCUUGCUUGACCAGAUGUGUCUCCCUCAGUUUCAUCGUCUAACAAAGGGGCACCCAAUAAUUCAUUGUAGAUAUUGUUGUCUUGGUUAACUCGACCAUUCACUGCCUUUCCGUCUAUAUGGAGACCCAACAACAUGUACACGUCCUCAAGUGUGACGGUACACUCACCAAUCGGAAGGUGAAAUGUGUGGGUCUCGGGUCUCCACCUCUCCAACAAAGCCAGAAUGAACUUGUAGUCCACCGAGUAAUGUACACGUCCUCAAGUGUGACGGUACACUCACCAAUCGGAAGGUGAAAUGUGUGGGUCUCGGGUCUCCACCUCUCCAACAAAGCCAGAAUGAACUUGUAGUCCACCGAGUACGAAACAAUGUUGAGCAGAUUUCCAAAUCCACAUCCUCUAAUAUAUGGUUCUAUUAAAGGAUUGUGGGGUACAUAUUCAUGUACACAACAUCUAAACCGCUUCGGAUCCUAAUAACAAAAACGUAAGAAAAUACAAUUAGAAGAAGAAAUACAUAAUCAACAAACACAAAUCUAUAAGAAGUAAGAAAAACAUAGAUAACAAAGGUAUAAGACUAAAAACAGAAAAAGUAAAAAGAGAGAGAUAACAUACAAAUGUCGAGAUAUUCUCGAGUGUGCCUCUGUGUUCAUCGGCCAUAGUCAACAAAGACAUGAUUUGAUUUUGCAAAGCUUGAGUGUGGUAGAGGAAAAAAGUGUGGUAGAAGAAUAUAAUUGAGUAUUGAUGAAAAUGAUUUGAUAUUGUUGAUAUGAGAGGCUAUUUAUAGAUGAAUGUGUGAGUAAGUUUGCAACCUAAAAUGAAUGUGAUUGGUUGCAUGGAAUGGAAAGAGAAGACAAGGGAAUGACGAACUUCAGAAAGAAUGUGAGGACUCUCUCUUCUAGGAGCAUGUGAAGAAUCCACAUGCAAGGGAAGAGGAGCACUUCCUCUUGGCGCCUGCAUGUGAUUCUUCACAUGCAAGGAAGAGUCGCCCUUCCUCUUGGCGCCUUAGUGUAGGCAAAUGGGAAGGGGCGCCCUUCCUAGUGGCGCCUAAGUAUAAUUUUUGUGAAGAGGCGCCCAUCCUUUUGGCGCCCCAGUUACUUUAUGGCGCCUAGGUGGGAAUAUUAGGGCUCAUGGUUCAGAGAUUCCUUGGCGCAUGUGUGUUCUUGUCACUCUUUUCUCUGCAUGUUUGAUUCUUUCUACUGCAUGCAUGGUCAAGUUUGUACAGACAAUGACCAAGUUAUCAAUGCAACGACCAAGUUAGCAAUGCAACGCUAUUUAUGCUGUAUAGAUGAACAACUUAGCAAUGCAUUCAAUUCCAUUAAAGCUAUCUACAUAUUUAAUAUUUUAACAAAAUGUCUUUCACAUAACAUUACAUGAUCAGUGCCCAUGUUGAAGGUGAAAUAUUUGAUCAUAAGUUAUUCGGUUUUUUUUUCGAAACACAGAGGUAACUCGGUUUACAAUAAACCGACGAUCAAAUAUUUCACAUAUGAAACAAAAAAUAGAAAAGAAAUUGCAGUGCAGUAAUGUGGGCUAAAUCAUCUAUAAAAAUCUGGUUUGGUUUGCAGAAAACCAGGUAAAAUUUUAUCAGAAGAAGAUUCGAGAUGAUGAUGAUGUUCAACAUAUGCUUGUCAGUCACGAACAAUCCGGUUACAAUGAUAUAGAGUUGUAUAUAUUACCACAUCAACAACAGGUGUCUCAGUACAUUGAUCAGUCACAAGUGUUUUGCGAGACUGAUGACAAACAAGUUGAGGUGAAUGUUCUAGAUGACGAAGAAGAAGAAGUUAAGAUCAUGGUUGAUUCGAUGGUGAACGCUGAAGAGGAAGAGGAGCCAAUACCAGCAAGUCAUGUAUACUUCCCACCCCAACACAUGACAAGGUUAAAUUUGGGUUCAGAUAAACCUUCAACAGAUUUAUGGUACAAUCCUUACAUGCAGAUGCAAGGAUCUUUGAAACAAGGAGACACAUUUUGCACAAAAGAGGAAUGUGUAAAAGCCGUUAAGAAAUUCCACAUGCAACUAUCAACUGAUUUCAGAGUUGACAGAACUGAUGCAUCGAAGUAUAAAGUUUAUUGUCCGAAUGAGCACCGCCUUUGCCCUAGUUGAAGGGGAGACUGCUGAGGGAUGAAGUUUUUUCCUAAGAAAUCUCUGAUUGCACGUUGCACCUCAGCCUAACUUAUGUUUGAUCUCCGACAGACACCCUUCAAUCAUUAAUGCAUAUAAUAACAUUGACAACGGCUGUCAAAAUCCUCCUUCGACGCAUGUGUUCCGUAUUAGACAUAUUGCUCAGAAUGUCAUGCGGGAAAUCAAAGAUAAGACGUUGCGGAAGAAGGUUGUCAAUGCAGGUUACGCAUUAUCAGAACCUUCUUUUAAACACUAUCGCGAGGAAAUAAGAUUGUUAAUUGAAGAUGCGGUACGAUGGAUCGAUAGUAUUCCAUUGGAGAAGUGGACUAGGGCAUACAACAACGUUCAGCAUUGGGGCCACAUGACAACAAAUCUUGUGGAAUCAAUGAACUCUGUCUUCAAAGGCAUCCGUAACCUACCAAUAACCGCUUUGGUGCAUGCUACAUAUUUCAGGCUAUGGGCGUUGUUUGAAACCGGACGCUCAAAAUGGAGUUCAGUGUUGCAAUCUGGAUAGUUGUUCAGUGAUGCUUCAAUGAAAUUCAUCAGACAUGAAGCUGCUAAAGCAAACACACAUGUGGUUACAGUCUUUGACCAAAGUAAAGGUUGGUUUAGUGUUGUCGAGUCCAUGGAUCACAAUGAGGGCAUGCCGAUGGGACAAUACAAAGUCGAAUUAGAUAGAGGUUGGUGCGACUGCGGAAAGUUCCAAGCCUUUCGUACCCCCUGCUCCUUUGUCAUUGCGGCAUGCUCAAAGGUUCGAAGGGAUCCAUCCUACUUGCUAUCUGAAGUUUACAAAGUCGUCAGCCUUUCAAAUGUUUAUAAAAUUAGUUUUUCCGUAGUGGCAAAAGAGGAUUAUUGGCCAGAAUAUCAAGGGGACAUCGCCUGGCACAACGAAUUUAUGUGAAUGAAGGAAAAGGGUCGCCCAAACAGCACCGGAUUCGAAUCGAAAUGGAUACGGCGAACAAAAUGGUUAGACUAUGUAGUUCAUGCCGUCAACCAGGUCAAAAUCGUAAUAACUGUCCUAGUGUUGGAAUGAGCACAACCAGAUAAAUUUACAUGUACCUCUAUUGCAAUAUAUGAAAAACUAAAUUUAUUUCAUAUUAGACGUGUGUGACGAAAGUACCAUUACAUAAACAGUAACACAAAUAAUUCUAACAAAUACAAUACAAGAACUAUGCAAUUACAACCAUCAAAACAAUUUUGAACAUGUAAUGCAUCAUCCUACGGGCGUCUUGGUCGGUCUUAAUAUCCACUCAUUCGCGCACUUCUCCGUGUUGGUUGAACGUGGACACAAGCCAUUAUAUUCUUCUAAUUCGUUCACCCUCUAACCAACUUACAACGUCCGAUUAAGACGUUCAAACGUAUUUGUGUUCCAAAGUCGAACCUGUAUCGAAGCCGCAACGGCAUAAAAUAUUACAUCAGCAUUUCAUUUCUGAAUGUAUGCAGAUAUUGUUGAAACAGAGAAAAUUGAAAUUGAUGGUGGUUGAAUUAGACAAGUUAUGGUAUUAGGAGAUGAGUUUGAGUGAAAAAUAUUGCAUCCAAGGCGUGGUAAUUAUAGAGACGGAACAUAAAUUAUACAAAACACGUGGGCGCCUGAGGGAUUGGCACCCACAUGACCAUGACAUGCAGGCGCCAAAUGAAUGGACGCCCACACAAUCAAAUGCACAUAGGUGCCAAGAGCAUUGACGCCUCCUCAUGAGGCCCAAUGCAUGCGCCACUAGCAUUGGCGCCUCCUCAUGAGGAGUCCAAUGCAUGCGCCAAUGCUAUUGACGACUCCUCUUCAUGCAUUGGGGAUGCGCCAAUUCAUCUGACGCAUCAUCUACAAAAUCUGAUUAUUUUGACAAUUUUUUUAAAUAAUUGAUUAUUUUGGAAUUUUUUUAAAAAUAAAAAGUUAUUUUGAAAAAAAAAAUCACAUUACAAGCUCUAAUGCAACUACUUUCUUACUUAAAAACCUUUCAUAUUAAUCAUAUGGAUUUCUUGAGGAAUAAACAUAUCCUUUUUCGCUUUCUUGGUGAAGCGAUGGUAUGGGAAAGAAAAUAAAUGAAAAAGAGUGGCUUAUGAGAGUAGUUUAGAGAAUGAGAAAAGGGAAAUGGAGAAAAUGACUUUUGUUUAUAGAAUUUUUCUACGUCGUAUCGUGGUUAAUCACCAUGGUUUUGAUGUUUCAAUUUUCAAAGCGACAUAAAACAUAUAAAAAAUACGUACGAUUUAGUCGGAGGAGGGUCGUCCCAAUCAAUUUGAAGGCCUGUUCUAUUUUAAAAUUAAAUAUUUAAUAGAUGAAAACAUAAUAAAUUAAAAAAUAUAUAUUUUAUUUAAUUGUAAAUAAAAUUAAAUAUAUAGAGACAAAAAUAAGAAAAAAUACUAUGUAGAAAUUUGAUUUAUCAAAGUUUAGUUAUUCGCGAUUUUCUUCUCUUACCAUCUUCGAUUUAUAAAAAAAAUUCAUACCAUUUAAUAAAAGAAAAAAAUUUCUUUAAACAAUUUCCACAAUAUUAAUAAUGAAAUGUUUCAUUUAAUAAACAAUCAACAAUAUAAAAUUAUAAAUUUUUAAAGUCUAACAACUACUAUUUCAAAUUUAUUAAUGUAGUAAUUCACAAUGAUACAAAAAUAUAAAUAUUUCCAAACUUACAUCUCAAAAAAUUUCAUAGAUCUAUAAAAUAUAUUAAUAAAAGAAAAAAAUUGAUUAGAUUAAUUGCGAUAUUAAAUUUUAAAUAAAUUUAAAUAUAAUUUAUUUAGAUUAUAGGUUGCUGGAUAGGAUAUGCUUCAAUAUAUUAAUAAAAGAAAAUAUUUAUUAAAUUAAUUACAUAAUUAAAUUAAAUUUAAAACAAUGUGGUGGCGUUUUUUUAUAAAAGUAAAAAUAUACAUAAGUAAGAACAAGGAAUCCAACCUACCCAGGUUGUAUUAGUAUCAAAAUAAAAUAGCCGCCGCUCAGCUAUACUAUAAUAAUAUAUUAAAAUGGAAUUAGUGAUAUAUAUUCGUUAGUAUUAUAUUUAUAUUAAUCCUAUCUAUCAAAUUCAACACUUAAAAAAUCGGAAGCCCUGUGCGGUAGCACUCCUCGCACCCCACAUGGCCGACCCUGAGUCGGAGUACAAUAAAUGCCUAAAAAACUAAAAUAUAAUAAUAAAAUAAAAUAAAAAAGUAGUCAAACAAAUACAACAAAGACCAAGGGACCUAAAAGAAAAAUGCCAAUAAAAAAUUAGUAGAUAAUAGAAAUAUAAAUUGAAGUGCGAGUAAAAAAUUACAAGUGAAAGAAUAUUAUAGCAAAAAUAAACUUAUAUGCUUCUAUUUAAUACAAAUAUAAUUUCUCUACUUGAAUAUUACAUUAUGAUAUACCAUAGUCAAAUUCUCCAAAAUUAUGAUAGAAGGAGAUAAUUUAAGUAAUAUUAUUUGUUUUAUUUAUUUAUUUUCAUUACAAUCAUCUUAAGCCAUAAGAUCAUCCCAAUUAACACAUCGACAUUUCUCAUUAACACACAUCCUAAUAAAAUCAGAAAAACACGCUGGACAAUCGAUAUCAUAAUUACAUUUAGCAAAAACUGCAAUCAAAAAAGAGAAUAUAAGGAGAUGAUAAAUAUUAUAUAUCAAAAAAUUAAUAAGGAUGAAAAAAUAGCUUACCUUUAUUUUCUAUUGCAAAAAUAAAGAAGGAUAUAAAAUAGACAAUAGCAUAAAGAAACAUGUGAGUUUCAGCCAUAUUUUCUUUUUCUCUUUUGUAUGUAGCAAGUAGAAAAUGAUUUGAUCACUUUAUAAAUACAAAACUAAUGUUGUCUUUACGUCAAACAAAUAGUUUAUAACAC